rnacentral:SRP_RNA from 1 species
UCGUGCUAGGCGGGGAAGUAGCGGCUCCCUGAACCCGCAAUCCGCUAUAGCGGGGCGGAAUCCCCACCCGCGGCUUUGGUCUUUUCGGAAACGGCCAGCCGCCAAAGGCGUCGAAGGCCAGGUCCCACGCGACGAGGACCUGCGAACCCCGUCAGGUCCGGAAGGAAGCAGCGGUAAGCAGGAAACCGCGGGCGCCGUGGGGUAGCUUGGCCGGAGCCGGAGUCGGCCGGAACGCCCGGGAAGAGAGGUCAGAGGUGGGUGCACGG